rnacentral:rRNA from 1 species
UACGGGGGGGGCAAGCGUUGUUCGGAAUUACUGGGCGUAAAGAGCUCGUAGGUGGUUUGUCGCGUUGUUCGUGAAAACUCACAGCUCAACUGUGGGCGUGCGGGCGAGACGGGCAGACUGGAGUACUGCAGGGGAGACUGGAAUUCCUGGUGUAGCGGUGGAAUGCGCAGAUAUCAGGAGGAACACCGGUGGCGAAGGCGGGUCUCUGGGCAGUAACUGACGCUGAGGAGCGAAAGCGUGGGGAGCGAACAGG